rnacentral:rRNA from 1 species
AAUCAACGCUGGCGGCGUGCCUCAGACAUGCAAGUCGAACGCGAAAGUCCCCUUCGGGGGAUGAUUAGAGUGGCGCACGGGUGAGUAACACGUAGGUAAUCUACCUUCGAGUGGGGAAUAACUCAGGGAAACUUGAGCUAAUACCGCAUAAUGCAGCGGCACCACAUGGUGACAGUUGUUAAAGCAUUUAUGCGCUUGAAGAGGAGCCUGCGGCAGAUAGCUAGUUGGUAAGGUAAUGGCUUACCAAGGCUACGAUCUGUAACCGGCCUGAGAGGGCGGACGGUCACACUGACACUGAAUAACGGGUCAGACUCCUACGGGAGGCAGCA